rnacentral:rRNA from 1 species
GAUGAACGCUAGCGGGAGGCCUAACACAUGCAAGCCGAGCGGUAUUGUUCCUUCGGAAAUGAGAGAGCGGCGUACGGGUGCGUAACACGUGUGCAACCUGCCUUUAUCUGGGGGAUAGCCUUUCGAAAGGAAGAUUAAUACUCCAUAAUAUAUUGAACGGCAUCGUUUAAUAUUGAAAGCUCCGGCGGAUAGAGAUGGGCACGCGCAAGAUUAGCUAGUUGGUGAGGUAACGGCUCACCAAGGCGAUGAUCUUUAGGGGGCCUGAGAGGGUGAUCCCCCACACUGGUACUGAGACACGGACCAGACUCCUACGGGAGGCAGCAGUGAGGAAUAUUGGUCAAUGGGUGCAAGCCUGAACCAGCCAUCCCGCGUGAAGGACGACUGCCCUAUGGGUUGUAAACUUCUUUUGUAUAGGGAUAAACCUACCCUCGUGCGGGUAGCUGAAGGUACUAUACGAAUAAGCACCGGCUAACUCCGUGCCAGCCGCCGCUGUAAUAC